GCCGAAAUAGCUCAGUUGGGAGAGCGUUAGACUGAAGAUCUAAAGGUCCGGUUCGAUCCCGGGUUUCGGCA
rnacentral:tRNA from 1 species